rnacentral:misc_RNA from 1 species
GAUGAAGAACGUAGCGAAAUGCGAUAAGUAAUGUGAAUUGCAGAAUUCAGUGAAUCAUCGAAUCUUUGAACGCACCUUGCGCUCUUUGGUAUUCCGAAGAGCAUGCCUGUUUGAGUGUCAUGAAAAUAUCAACCUUGACUUGGGUUUUGUGCUCUAGUCUCGGCUUGGAAUUGGGUGCUUGCCGCUUUUACGAGCGGCUCACCUUAAAUGUAUUAGCUGGAUCUGUCUUUGAGACUUGGUUUGACUUGGCGUAAUAAGUAUUUCGCUAAGGACAUUCUUCGGAGUGGCCUCGUUUCUAGGACGCUUGUCCGCUUUCCAAUACAAGUUCCACCUCGUGGACAUGACUUUUAUUAUCUGGCCUCAAAUCAGGUAGGACUACCCGCUGAACUUAAGCAUAUCAAUAAGCGGAGGA